rnacentral:rRNA from 1 species
UACAGAGGUCCCAAGCGUUGUUCGGAUUCACUGGGCGUAAAGGGUGCGUAGGUGGCGGGGUACGUCUGAUGUGAAAUCUCCGAGCUUAACUCGGAAAGGGCAUUGGAAGCUACCUUGCUCGAGGGUUGGAGGGGGGACUGGAAUUCUCGGUGUAGCAGUGAAAUGCGUAGAUAUCGAGAGGAACACCAGUGGCGAAGGCGAGUCCCCGGACAACUCCUGACACUGAGGCACGAAAGCGAGGGGAGCAAACAGG